AAGCAAUUUGCUCAUAGCCAUAGCUUUCUUGUGAAAGUAGGAUAUUAACCCAGGUGUCUUGGUGCUGGAGAACAGAACUGGCCAGAGUCCAUCCUGUCUCCCACCGGCAUCCCAUUACGAAAUGAACACAGAAAAGGCAGGUCUGCAAUGCCAACAUCUAGUAUCUAUCCCAAAGACCAGGGAGAAAGGAAGGAAAGAUUCUGGUUCUGUCCUCUUCCCCAAGGCAAGGCUGGCUGCCCUACCAACAGAGGCAAAGAGAAGAGUGUGCAAGGCUGGCUGCCCUCCCAACAGAGGCAAAGAGGAGUGUGUGUUGAAAUAUCCAUUGAAUCCCUGAGACAACUGGAUCCUGGCCCAUUGAAUCAUAAACUCAGCAGAAUCUCACAUCAUAACCCCAAAUGACCUGUUACUCACCAUGUGGCCCAGCUGUCUUCAAACUCACCAGCCUCCUGCCUUAGCCUUCUAAAUGCUUGGAUUACAGGCAUGACCCACCAUAACUGGCUUUGUUUUAGUUUCAGAGAAGAUGAAACUGAUGUGCGUCAAAAAGUUAUGGAGGCUGGGAAGACCUAGAAUGUGGCAUCACUAUUUGGAAACCAUGCCGAUUACCGACCGAGCUCUCAAUGGAAAAAUGCAGUCGGCGUGAACCACGCACGAACACAGCAGAGAAAGAAGAAAACACACACCACGAGGAACCCUAAUAGGACAAUACAUUAUAAGCCUCAUGGUACAUCCACUUGGUGUGCUGGGAGAGUCAGGAUGAGGACCUGAGAAGAACAGCAGCUUGAACCUGACUUCAUUUAACAGCCCACUGCCCUCUUGCCAAGAACCCAUCACAGACCUUCCCAGAAGAGAGGGAUGAGCCUCACCUAUGAAUAAGUCCUCAGAAACUCAAAUUUGAUUCUAAUGGAUUGUUUUCUCAGAAAGACUGAGCAUGUCCCCCCACAUCUCUGUCAUUUCCCACAGUAGUAACCUCUGCAGAUGCCACAUAGAAAACAAAACAAAACAAAAAAACAUGAGGUUGGUGGGCAGAUAGGCAGGGUAUAAACAAACAGCCUUGUAACCCAGAAGCUGUGUGAUAUACAGUAAACUUCACAACACUGAAAAGAUGUCCUAUCUGUUAAAAUGGGGUAAUAACAACUACCCGAAUGUUUAGGAAUAGAACUUCAAUAAAUGAUACAUUUUAUAGUACAGCAGACCAUCCUGUAAAGGUUUCAUCCUUCACUGUGGUGAUAAAUAUCCCAAACCACAUUGAAAAGCAUUGCAUCUACAUUUAUCUACACUGUAACUGUACUGUAAAUCAUGGGGGAGGGGAGAAUCAUAAAAACACCACCUGUCACCGUGUCAUUAAAGCAAGUUGGAAGUGAUACUUACAGAAACACAGCAAGAGCACCCCCAGUCACACAGUUCAAUCUCUUAGCAAGCGUUUUCUUUCUAGCCCAGUGGUUCUCAGUUUGGAAUUUUUGGCACUGCCUAGAGAUAGUUUUGUUGUUAAAACUGAGAAAAGAGCCGGGCGUGGUGGCACACGCCUUUAAUCCCAGCACUCAGGAGGCAGAGGCAGG
rnacentral:lncRNA from 1 species